rnacentral:rRNA from 2 species
GCAGUCGAACGAAACUUCUUUAUCACCGAGUGCUUGCACUCACCGAUAAAGAGUUGAGUGGCGAACGGGUGAGUAACACGUGGGCAACCUGCCCAAAAGAGGGGGAUAACACUUGGAAACAGGUGCUAAUACCGCAUAACCAUAGUUACCGCAUGGUAACUAUGUAAAAGGUGGCUAUGCUACCGCUUUUGGAUGGGCCCGCGGCGCAUUAGCUAGUUGGUGGGGUAAAGGCUUACCAAGGCAAUGAUGCGUAGCCGAACUGAGAGGUUGAUCGGCCACAUUGGGACUGAGACACGGCCCAAACUCCUACGGGAGGCAGCAGUAGGGAAUCUUCCACAAUGGGCGAAAGCCUGAUGGAGCAACGCCGCGUGGGUGAAGAAGGUCUUCGGAUCGUAAAACCCUGUUGUUAGAGAAGAAAGUGCGUGAGAGUAACUGUUCACGUUUCGACGGUAUCUAACCAGAAAGCCACGGCUAACUACGUGCCAGCAGCCGCGGUAAUACGUAGGUGGCAAGCGUUAUCCGGAUUUAUUGGGCGUAAAGGGAACGCAGGCGGUCUUUUAAGUCUGAUGUGAAAGCCUUCGGCUUAACCGGAGUAGUGCAUUGGAAACUGGGAGACUUGAGUGC